UUAAAUUUGAAGUUCAGAUAAACGAGUAACUUUUUAGCAUAAAUAUGUUCCAUGCCAUAUUUGGGACAUACUUAUACUAAAAAAUUCCUCACUGUUUAUCUGAACUUCAAAUUUAACUGGGCAUCCUGUGUUUU
rnacentral:miRNA from 10 species